UACGUAGGGGGCUAGCGUUGUCCGGAAUCAUUGGGCGUAAAGAGCGUGUAGGCGGUCCGGUAAGUCCGCUGUGAAAGUCGGGGGCUCAACCCUCGAAUGCCGGUGGAUACUGUCGGGCUAGAGUGCGGAAGAGGCGAGUGGAAUUCCUGGUGUAGCGGUGAAAUGCGCAGAUAUCAGGAGGAACACCUAUUGCGAAGGCAGCUCGCUGGGACGUAACUGACGCUGAGACGCGAAGGCGUGGGGAGCGAACGGG
rnacentral:rRNA from 1 species